GCUGGGCGUGGUGGCGCGUGCCUGUAAUCCCAGCUACUUGAGAGGCUGAGGCAGGAGAAUCGCUUGAACCCGGGAGGCGGAGGUUGCAGUGAGCCAAGAUCGUGCCACUACACUCCAGCCUGGGUGACAGAGUGAGACCUUGUCUCAA
rnacentral:SRP_RNA from 1 species